rnacentral:rRNA from 1 species
GAGUUUGAUCUUGGCUCAGAUUGAACGCUGGCGGCAGGCCUAACACAUGCAAGUCGAGCGGUAGAGAGAAGCUUGCUUCUCUUGAGAGCGGCGGACGGGUGAGUAAUGCCUAGGAAUCUGCCUGGUAGUGGGGGGAUAACGCUCGGAAACGGACGCUAAUACCGCAUACGUCCUACGGGAGAAAGCAGGGGACCUUCGGGCCUUGCGCUAUCAGAUGAGCCUAGGUCGGAUUAGCUAGUUGGUGAGGUAAUGGCUCACCAAGGCGACGAUCCGUAACUGGUCUGAGAGGAUGAUCAGUCACACUGGAACUGAGACACGGUCCAGAC